GUGUCAGCAGCCGCGGUAAUACGUAGGUGGCGAGCGUUAUCCAGAAUUAUUGGGCGUAAAGAGCGCGCAGGUGGUUGAUUAAGUCUGAUGUGAAAGCCCACGGCUUAACCGUGGAGGGUCAUUGGAAACUGGUCAACUUGAGUGCAGAAGAGGGAAGUGGAAUUCCAUGUGUAGCGGUGAAAUGCGUAGAGAUAUGGAGGAACACCAGUGGCGAAGGCGGCUUCCUGGUCUGUAACUGACACUGGGGCGCGAAAGCGUGGGGAGCAAACAGGAUUAGAUACCCGGGUAGUCC
rnacentral:rRNA from 1 species